rnacentral:lncRNA from 1 species
GAAUUUGUAGUGGAACAUAGUUCUAGCAGUUGUAACACGAGAUGAGGACUACACAAAUUCUACUCUUGGGCAUUGCCCUCGUCCUUCUAUCCUCGGGUAUCUUCAAUACCUACACAUCAUAUCUACAUGUUCUGUUAAGACAUUUCACACGUGUCACAAUUAUCAUGCCUAACUAUCUUCUCUUAUUUUCUCUUGAUAUUUGCUUGUAGGCAUGGAAACCAUUGAGGCACGCGGAGCUUGCUGCCCUCAGAUCGAAAAGGGGAAGUGUAACCAUAAUGAUUGUGCGGAUUAUUGCAAGAUGGUGAAUGGAUGGGAGUGGGGAUGCGUCCCUCAGGGAUGCAGGUGUGUAUCAUGCUGGAAAGAUCCACAAUGCACAGGGCCAGAAGUGCCACCACCACCACCAACACCCUCGAUGUAACAUUUUGGUUCAUGGUUGUUGCCGUAAUAACAAAAAUCAAAUAAGAGUCCUGAGUGGACAAGUAAUAUGUGUCAACUGGUCUAUCUGACCAGAGAGAAAUAGUAAGACAUGUUGAGAGCUUCUGUGUUAUUAGAUACCUUCUAGCAACUCUAGCUUAGUGACAUGAGAAUCUUCUCUAUACUGCUACCAAAUUGAUUCACACCUAAGGAUUUUUACAGGCGAACCACCUACUAUAUGCAUAGUUGCCCAUAUCUUAGAGGUUAGUGAAUUAGUUGUCAUGGAUGGUUCUCUGCAAAGAAUCCUCCUAAGAAGUGAAAAUGCAUGUGAUGGUUCUCUAGAAUCGCAAGAUAAGCCACAUAUUAUGCCAUAUGGUGAUUAGUAUUUGUGAGAUGAUCUUCUAUCUCAAUAGGUUUUUCUUGGAACUGCAUGUAGCUACUCACUUCACGCGACACAAAAUUGUUCCACCGUCUUUUGUCUAACUAACAAACAUGCACAUGUGUUUCAACGGAAG